GCAAUUGUGUCUUCGUGGUAGAAUGCUCGCCUGCCACGCGGGCGCCCCGGGUUCGAUUCCCGGCCGAUGCA
rnacentral:tRNA from 1 species